UUUCCACCAAGAUGUAUAACUCUGGUCUUAGUUGACUCGAUUUUUAACCUAGCAUUUUACUCUUAUCAAGAAAAUAUUCUUGUUCCCACAUCGUUCAACCUGUCGGUCAUUGCAAGGAAUUCAAUAGAUAUAAGGGAAGCAUCAAUUCAAACUGAUUUUUCAUUUAUCAUACCUUACUCUUUCGAGUUGGGGAAUGAAAAAUCUUUUGGC
rnacentral:lncRNA from 1 species